AACGUAGGAGACAAGCGUUAUCCGAAUUUACUGGGCGUAAAGCGCGUGCAGGUGGUACGACAAGUGGAAUGUGAAAUCUCCCGGCUCAACUGGGAGGGGCCGUUCCAAACUGUCGAACUAGAGGACGGUAGAGGGAGGUGGAAUUCCCGGUGUAGUGGUGAAAUGCGUAGAUAUCGGGAGGAACACCUGUGGCGAAAGCGGCCUCCUGGACCGUACCUGACGCUCAGACGCGAAAGCUAGGGGAGUGAACGGG
rnacentral:rRNA from 1 species